rnacentral:rRNA from 1 species
GACGAACGCUGGCGGCGUGCUUAACACAUGCAAGUCGAACGGAAAGGCCUGCUUUCCCUUGUGGGUUGCGGGUACUCGCGUGGCGAACGGGUGAGUAACACGUGAGUGAUCUGUCCCCAACUUGUGUAUAAGCCUGGGCAACUGGGUCUAAUUCCCGAUUGGACCGCAGGGUGGUGCCUGUGGUGGAACACGAUUUUCUAGUGGUUGGGGAUGAGCUCGCGGCCUAUCAGCUUGUUGGUGGGGUAAUGGCCUACCAAGGCGGGGACGGGUAGCCGGCCUGGGAUGGUGGGCGGGCACAUGGGGACGGAGAUACGGCCCAGACUCCUACGGGAAGCAGCAGUGGGGAAGAAUGAGCGAGGGACGGAGGCCUAAGGCAGCGACGCCGCUGGGGGGAUGACGGGCUUCGGGUGGUAAACUCCUUGCGACCGCGAGGAAGCCACCUGGAUGGAAGGGUGGUGACGGUAGUGGUAGAAGAAGCACCGGCUAACUACGUG